rnacentral:misc_RNA from 1 species
AACCUAGCACACCUGCGGUGUGUACCUGCGGAAGGAUCAUUACCGAGUUAUACAACUCCCAAACCCACUGUGAACCUUACCUCAGUUGCCUCGGCGGGAACGCCCCGGCCGCCUGCCCCCGCGCCGGCGCCGGACCCAGGCGCCCGCCGCAGGGACCCCAAACUCUCUUGCAUUACGCCCAGCGGGCGGAAUUUCUUCUCUGAGUUGCACAAGCAAAAACAAAUGAAUCAAAACUUUCAA